CAGCCGCCGCGGGAAUACAGAGGGUGCAAGCGUUAAUCGGAAUUACUGGGCGUAAAGCGCGCGUAGGUGGUUUGUUAAGUUGGAUGUGAAAUCCCCGGGCUCAACCUGGGAACUGCAUUCAAAACUGACUGACUAGAGUAUGGUAGAGGGUGGUGGAAUUUCCUGUGUAGCGGUGAAAUGCGUAGAUAUAGGAAGGAACACCAGUGGCGAAGGCGACCACCUGGACUAAUACUGACACUGAGGUGCGAAAGCGUGGGGAGCAAACAGGAUUAGAUACCCCAGUAGUCCCUGUCUCUUAUAC
rnacentral:rRNA from 1 species